CACGUAGGGUGCGAGCGUUGUCCGGAAUUAUUGGGCGUAAAGAGCUCGUAGGCGGUGUGUCGCGUCGGCCGUGAAAACUUGGGGCUUAACUCUGAGCGUGCGGUCGAUACGGGCAUCACUUGAGUUCGGCAGGGGAGACUGGAAUUCCUGGUGUAGCGGUGAAAUGCGCAGAUAUCAGGAGGAACACCGGUGGCGAAGGCGGGUCUCUGGGCCGAUACUGACGCUGAGGAGCGGAAAGCAUGGGGAGCGAACAGG
rnacentral:rRNA from 1 species